GAGGGCAUGGGUCACCCCAGCCCUGGCAUCUGCCCAGAACAUGAGAAGGAAGGAACAGUGGUCCUCCAGCAAUGUCACAGGGCCUGCGUGGAUCACCCAGCUGUGUCGGUUAACCUGAACUCCAUCUGCGGAAAUUCGAGGAGGAAAAUACAAAAGUCUUUACAUGAGCACUGAGAAGGCAGACGCAGGCAGAAACCUAUGGGAGGUGGUGAAGCCCUCUACUGUCCUGACCCCACAGUUCCUGUCCCAUGACCAGGGCCAGCUCACCAAGGAGCUGCAGCAGCAUGUAGUCAGUGCCAUCCCCCAUGCGAGUACCUAAGGAAGCCUCCAGAAAGUCACAUGUGCACUGGCAUGGAACUGGCAGGAACUGUGGGUUGUGUUGGCUCCCAAACGCCUCUGGCCUAUAUGAAAUAUGGUUGCUAUUGUGGCCUGGGAGUCCACGGCCAGCCCUGUGAUGCCAUUGACUGCUAACUUAGGUACCACUGGGCUUUCUUGGCUGAAGUCCUGGGAGAGGAAACAAGUGUUUUCCAGCUGGGGCAUCACCCGUGACCAGUUGUCAUUUGCAUGGAGCUGGGAUUCUGUUCUGGGUAUGUAUGUACCAUUCUAUAACUUUUUUGUUGAGACAGGGUCUUGCUCUGUUGACCAGGCUGGAGUGCAGUGGUGCGAUCUCAGCUCAUUGCAACCUCCACCUCCUGGGUUCAAGUGAUUCUCCCACCUUAGCCUCCCAACUGGGACUAUGCGUGCCCACCACCAUGCCUGGCUAAUUUUUAUAUUUUUUGGUAGAGACAGUGUUUUGCCAUGUUGGUCAGGCUGAUCUCAAACUCCUGACUUCAGGGAUCUACCCACCUCAGCCUCCAAAAGUGCUGGGUUUACAGGUGUGAGUCAACAUGUCCACCUAAUUCUAUACAUUUUAGCACAGCUGAGAGUCAUCUAACCACCACCACAACCAGUACACAAAAUAAUUUCAUCCCCCAAAAAAUCCCCUCUUUCUACCCUUUUGUGGUCAUUCUCUCCUCUGCUACUGCCCCCUGGCAACCACUGGUCUGUUUUCUGUCCCUAGAGUUUUAGCUAUGCCCAAGUGUCAGAUGAAUGGAUUCCUGUAGAUGUGAAUUUUUGGGUCUGGCUUUUUUUGCCCAGCACAAAGUAUUUGAGAUUCAUCCAAGUUGCUGGUUGUAUCAGUAGUCCACACCUUUUCAUUGCUGAGUAGUAGUUUAUGGUGUGGUUGUACCAUAGCUUAUUAAAUUCCUCUGUUAAAUUGGGUUGUCUCCAGUUUGGGGUGAUGAUGAAUAGACUGCUCUAAACAUC
rnacentral:lncRNA from 13 species